CGUUAUUCCGCUGAUAUGGCGAUUUCUUUGACGACUGCAAUAUAUUUCUGAAUUGUUUGAGUGAAUUGCUCUUUAGUAUUAAAAUAUCCAAAAUUUAAAAAAAGCCUAACACAAUUUUGAAACUGACGUCUUUAGCUAUGUGCUGUGGAAAUUUAAGAAAGAAUUGGUUAAAACCCGCCGCCGAGAACAACUCGUUUGAAAAUCAGUAAUUACCGCAAAAUUCUUCGGGAGAAAAUCGAAUUUGAAUAUUAUAUUUUCAAUGUUUUUCUUAUUGCAGCGAAAUGUAUUUUAUUAAAUAACUCUGCGUGUAUUCAACAUUUUUCGUUCAAACUUGGUCAGAUAGUAGAACUAUAGUCUAAUGCUUUCAUGGAAACCAAUAAAAACAUUUUAGACAAAAUUAACACUCAAAGGUGUUCUGUAACCAUAAUUAAGCAUGCGAAAGGCUGAUUUUUUAGGAAAAAAUAAAUAGUUGAAGGGCUUAAAGUAUAACGCAAAUUGUCUGUAAUUUUGUACAGUAAUGUAUUAAAAACCCAACAAAUUUUCCAUCCAUUAACUCAAAACACGAUUAAUUAAAGCUUUUAAAUUUCGUGCGCAAGCUAGCCAUUUUUAGUUUGUUAGAAAUGAAACACCCCCAUGGUUUACACAAUUUGAGUUCGAGUAUUUUUUUCAUUAUUCUACAUUAUGGGUACUCCACGAAUCUAUAUAUAACACAAACUUGGUACCCCGAGCUGUUUUGUGAAAUUGAGAGCAAGUCAAAUCUGUUCAGUUCCACCCUGUAUAGUUCCUCUGGAAUCGCAGAUGAAUAGAAAUCGGAAAGGUUCGAUUCCUGCCAUAGUGUCUAUACUGUAUAUCAAGUUGAAAUUUCUAAAUUUCUAUCUAACAAGAACGUUCAACCUGCAGGAAUUUUAACCAGAGUGUUUUUAAAUUGUAUUGCCUUUUUAAUUUCAGUAUCAUUCCAAUUUUAAUCAUUUCGAUACUUUUCUUUAUUUUAUAUAAAAACUUCGUUUGAACUUGUUUGAAAAAUAUUCUACAACGCCCUUGCAAUGAAAUAUGACAGAAUUGUGACUUAUUGAUCAGUCAUUCCAGAUUAUUUGUUCUUUUAUAGAGAAGAAAGAAAAUUAAAAUAUGGGAUGGAUAAAUAUGUUCCUCGUAAACAAUAUACUAUAUGUUACUACAAAUAGUACAUAGUUACAUUAUCUUAUAAUUACAAAAUUAGUGAAUAAAUUAGAAGUGUUC